rnacentral:tRNA from 3 species
GGGCAAGUGGCGGAAUGGUAUACGCGUUAGUCUCAAAAACUAAUAGUCGCAAGGCUAUGAGGGUCCGACUCCCUCCUUGCCCACCA